rnacentral:ncRNA from 1 species
AGCUUGUAAAAGUCAGCUAAUCUCGUAAACUUAGCCUAAGUUCAGAUUGUAGGCUGCAACUCGCCUGCAUGAAGUUGGAAUCGCUAGUAAUCGCUGGUCAGCUAUACAGCGGUGAAUCCGUUCCCGGGCCUUGUACACACCGCCCGUCACACCAUGGGAGCUGGUCAUACCCGAAACCGUUAGUUUAACCGCGAGGAGAACGACGUCUAAGGUAGGGCUAGUGACUGGGGUGAAGUCGUAACAAGGUAGCCGUACUGGAAGGUGCGGCUGGAUCACCUCCUUU